rnacentral:rRNA from 1 species
GAUGAACGCUGGCGGCGUGCCUAAUACAUGCAAGUCGAGCGAACAGACGAGGAUCUUGCUCCUCUGACGUUAGCGGCGGACGGGUGAGUAACACGUGGAUAACCUACCUAUAAGACUGGGAUAACUUCGGGAAACCGGAGCUAAUACCGGAUAAUAUAUUGAACCGCAUGGUUCAAUAGUGAAAGACGGUUUUGCUGUCACUUAUAGAUGUAUCCGCGCCGCAUUAGCUAGUUGGUAAGGUAACGGCUUACCAAGGCGACGAUGCGUAGCCGACCUGAGAGGGUGAUCGGCCACACUGGAACUGAGACACGGUCCAGACUCCUACGGGAGGCAGCAGUAGGGAAUCUUCCGCAAUGGGCGAAAGCCUGACGGAGCAACGCCGCGUGAGUGAUGAAGGUCUUCGGAUCGUAAAACUCUGUUAGUAGGGAAGAACAAAUGUGUAAGUAACUAUGCACGUCUUGACGGUACCUAAUCAGAAAGCCACGGCUAACUACGUG